AAAAUAUAUCACAUUCUCUCAUACCAUGACAUGUGCAAGUCAUAUCCACGGGCAUCUUUUCAGACUUCCAACUUGGAUGGAACAGGAUGGGACUGGGAAUCACCUUGUGGUGCAUAUUAUUCCUCACAUUAGGCAUAUAUUGGUGCCACCACAAGCCAUUGCUAUCAAUCUACUCGCAUUCAUUUCUUGCACCAGGAAAAGUAACAGAAGAGCAUGGAAACUAAACGCUUUCUCUCCUCUAACCCCUUUACCAAAGCCAUUGAGCUUGCUCCCUCCAUUAAAGCAAGAGUAUUCUGCCACCCCAAGAGAAGUCCUACCCAGUUUCAUUGCAAAAAAGUUGGCGUUUCAACUUCCAUUUCAUGUAAGUUGUUCUUUAUCUUUUUUAACAUUAUGAUACUGACAUUCGAAUAAAAUUUUGACUUGAUUUUGUUUGUUUAAAAUAGGUUGCCAUUUAUCAUCAUCAUGGUCACCGGCUGGUGAUGACAGCCAGCCUUACCUUGAAGCUGAUUGGCGAUCAUUUAGAGCUAGAUUAGUCGCCAAUGAGCAAGCCUUUUGGCUCAAUACUGCGCCUUCAUCAAUGGAUCCUGAUUCUGUGGUGGAAGUGGAUCAUCCUCUGCAAGUCGCAAUAGGGUGCAAAUGGGCGCAUGCCAUCCAUGAGCCUGAAAAGGGAUGCCUGCUAAUAGCCACAGAAAAACUUGAUGGGGUCCAUAUUUUCGAACGAACAGUGAUCCUUCUAUUAUCAGUUGGGCCUGCAGGCCCAUAUGGGAUCAUACUUAAUAGGCCAUCUCUUAUGUCCAUCAAGG
rnacentral:misc_RNA from 1 species